CUCUCUCUCUCUCUUUCUCUAUGUGUGUUUACCUCUAUAUAAUUCUUCUUCUUUUUCUCUCUACAGCGUGUAUAGUAAGUUUACAAAAUCCACACAUCCUGUCUGUUCUGUUUGUUAACCCUUAAACAUUACGUUUACUUUGUACUAUAAGUUGCAGCCGGGAAACGAGCCGCUCGUUCCCCGGACGUUCGAGGUCCCGCUUUGCGACAUCGCCACGCCAUGUGUCUGCUUCCUCUUCAUCGUCCUCCUUCGUCCUCCUGUUUGUCGCCCCCCUCUGCCGUAUAUCUUCUUUUUAAUUUUUUUUUUUUUCUUUUUUUCUUUCUUUCUUUCAUCGCUCCGUCGAUUUUUAAAUAUGCUUAUGCGUGCGUGAUACAUGUAUUAUGUAAUCAUUAUCAACUACGGUAUAGUACUAUUAUAUACUAUACGAGCAAACGGUACAGUAGUUGCCGGUGCACUCUCUGCGCGCGGUGUAGGUGCAAUGAUGACAUCAAAUUUUGCUCCCUCACUCUCCUCCCGCGGGCAGCCGCGAUCUCCUUUUUCUCUGUCUGUCCUGGAGCUCGCUGCCCGCGCGAUGCGAAUGAUAAUGAAGGUUUCCACCGUUCACACCGUGACAAUCCGUGCGUCCCUGUCGACGUGCUCGAG